rnacentral:rRNA from 1 species
GAUCAUGGCUCAGAACGAACGCUGGCGGCAGGCCUAACACAUGCAAGUCGAACGCUCCGCAAGGGGAGUGGCAGACGGGUGAGUAGCACGUGGGAACCUUCCCAUCGCUACGGAAUAGCUCAGGGAAACUUGGGGUAAUACCGUAUACGCCCGAAAGGGGAAAGAUUUAUCGGCGAUGGAUGGGCCCGCGGCUGAUUAGCUAGUUGGUGAGGUAACGGCUCACCAAGGCGACGAUCAGUAGCUGGUCUGAGAGGACGACCAGCCACACUGGGACUGAGACACGGCCCAGACUCCUACGGGAGGCAGCAGUGGGAAUAUUGGACAAUGGGCGCAAGCCUGAUCCAGCCAUGCCGCGUGAGUGACGAAGGUCUUCGGAUUGUAAAGCUCUUUUGGCGGGGACGAUAAUGACGGUACCCGCAGAAUAAGCCCCGGCUAACUUCGUG